UACAGAGGGUGCAAGCGUUAUCCGGAUUCACUGGGUUUAAAGGGUGCGUAGGUGGGUUGGUAAGUCAGUGGUGAAAUCCCCGAGCUUAACUUGGGAACUGCCAUUGAUACUAUCAGUCUUGAAUACCGUGGAGGUCAGCGGAAUAUGUCAUGUAGCGGUGAAAUGCUUAGAUAUGACAUAGAACACCAAUUGCGAAGGCAGCUGGCUACGCAUAUAUUGACACUGAGGCACGAAAGCGUGGGGAUCAAACAGG
rnacentral:rRNA from 1 species